AAUUGUUGUGGUUCAUUUUAAUACGCAAUUUAUUUUUGUACAUUAUUGGUUAUUUUGUUGAAUUGAUACUGAUGUUUUUUUAUUUAUCUGUUGGUGUAAAUAUUCAAAAAAUAGAGGUUAGCUACAAAAUAAUUUAAAAAAUAUCAACGAGUCGAUCAAGCCGAGGCACGGAUAUCUCGCUCUCUUUAAGGAGAUUCAAGCCCUCUGCGGUUGGCAAAGCCUUUGAACCGAUGCAGCAGAGCACCGACUUGUCCCCUCCAGGAUACAACGGCUCGACCCUCGUCGUGUGGCUUCACCAACUCUGCACAAGUAGAUGAGCCCAAAGCUCCACCAAAAGAACACCUUUCUUUGACCUUCUCUCUCUCUCAAGUAUAAUNN
rnacentral:lncRNA from 1 species